CACUUCUCUCUCUCUCUCUCUGCCUCACUUUGAAUUUUGAAUUUGGGUUCCUUUUUCCCAACCACCACCGGCUUUUCUCCGGCCGCCGCCCACACCGGCUUUGUUCUCUUCAUUCUCGCUCCGCCGAGAUUGAUUCGUAUGCACGGUGGCGCGGUUGGAUCGUAUCGGCGGUUUCGAUUCGUCUUAUAAUCUGAAUUAGAUUAUCAUGUUGCCUUAUGAUUUAUAAGCUGUGCUGCCUUUGAUUUGCCUUAUAAUCUCUGGUUCAGAUUAUUACGUUGCCUAUGAUUCAUAAGUUGAGUUGCCUUCGAUUUGUGUUAUAAUCUGAAUCAGAUUAUCAUGUUGCCUUUGAUUUAUAAGUUGGUUGCCUACGAUUUGUCUUAUAAUCUGAUUCAGAUUAUUAUGCUGCCUUCAAUUUAAUCGUGGCCUUUGAUUUUUCUUAUAAUCUGAUGCAGAUUAUUGCGUUGCCUUUGAUUUUAUAAGUUGUGUUGCCUUCGAUUUGUGUUAUAAUCUGAAUCAGAUUAUCAUGUUGCCUUAUGAUUUAUAAGUUGGUUGCCUUCGAUUUGUCUUAUAAUCUGAUUCAGAUUAUUAUGUUGCCUUCGCUUUAACCGUCGCCUUUGAUUUGUCUUAUAAUCUGAUUCAGAUUAAUUAUUACGUUGCUUGGAUUUCGAUGUUGCCUUUUGAGUAAAUACAAAUUGGAGCAGAUUUAUACAGUUGGCUUUGAUUGAUUCAUUCAUUCAUUGCCUUUGUUAACGUGUUGCCUUCGGUUUUUAUGAUGCCUUUGGUUAAUGUGAUGCCUUCAGAUUGUCUGUGCUUAAUAUAGAGUGAAUUUACUGGGAAGGUGACAUAUAUUUCAAUGAUGCGAAAUUUAGUAUUUUGAGGGAGAAACAUACAAUGGAUAGCAGCUCAAAGAUUUGGUGCUCCCUCUUUCUAUUGAGGUUGAAGUGCCAUUCUUGUGCUGUGUCAACGAUGGGAAUCAAGCAUUGCUGAGGGAUAUAUGUCAUCUUUCUCCUCUCUCAUGUUGCCUCCUAUUUCGGGACCCGAGAUUUAUUAAAUGGUUGAUUUACACCUUAAAGUAACAAUUAUGGCAAGUAUGGUUUUGAUCAAUGCGUUGCCUUCUAUUAAUAUGUUGCCUUCGGUUUACACCAUAGAGCUACAAUUCUGCCGUCUAUGCUUUAUUUCAUGAACAUGAGAUUUAACUGCUGCAUUUGAUGAGCAUGUAGUGAGACAUUUGGAGGUUUGGAUAUCUGUAUAAACAGUGCAGGCAUUGUUAAUCUCGUUUUCUUCUAUAAAGAUCAAACUGAUGGCAAAUGCACAUGGAGACGAACCGUGAUGUGAAUCUGAUUGCAGUUAUUGAUUGCACUCUCCUGGCGAUUAAGACAAUGCAAACUAUAAAAAAAGAAGAAGCCUGGUGUAAUUAUCAAUAUGGGUUCUGCCUCGGGUCUCUACCCAGUGGUCGAUCCAAUUUACUCUGGUUCAGAAGGUUUAUUCAUGGACCUGGAUACAAAAAAAAAUUGAGGAGAGAGUUGCACUAAAAGCAAAACAGAAGUGUUUCCAAGGCAGUCACGUGUUCAACUUGUGCUUGAAUGGCCUGGC